AAUAAAUAUUAUAGAUACUUGGUAUUUAACAUUUGAAUUUUAUAAGAUUUUAAUUAUUCGUCUUGCGUUGUAUAUAAAUUUACAUAUUUUUAAUUAAAAAAAAGUUAUAACCCGACAACUCAAUCCCGAAUUAUUGGGUUUGGUUGGAUUGAAAACUUUAUUAGGAUUCUUUGGAUUAUCAUCCCAAUCAACCUGAAUUUUCAGGUUGAUCCAAAAAAAUAUCCUCAAUCUAAUUCAUGUACAUCUUUAAUGGAAAUUUUCCGCGAAAUUAAUUUGUAUUCAUAUGUAAAUAACUUUAUUCUAAGGGGAAAAAAAGCAGGAAAAUGAAAUAUACACAAAUCUAUAUUACAAAAGUAAACAAGAAUUUCAUUCAUGAUUUUCCUUUUAAAAAGGAUAAUAUAAAAUAUUUGCUCUACUUUUUUCUUGUUUUCAUCCUCAAGCAAUUUUCCUCAACUGCCAUGAAAUUGGAUAACCUUUCAUCCAAAUGCUUGACAUCCAUAAACUUCUGGCUAAUAUCAAGUUGUUUUUAAAAUUUAUGACGUAAUUAUAAAUAUCUGAAAUUAAAAUUAAAGUUGAAAAUAUGGUCAAUCUCAAAUAAUAUUACGUGUCUUUUGCCGAAGAAGUUGGCACAAAAGGAAGGGAGAGGAAUAUCACGUGUCUUUUGUCAAAAAUAGUACCCUCAACUUUUCAUCUUUCAAAACUAGCACAUUUCUUGAAAAGUCGGUAAAUUAAUUUUUCUCAGGGAUCUCGAACGAGAUUGACCACCAGAUUCAGUUAUAAAAAUUUACUUUUUCUAACUUAUCUACAUCUCGAAUAUUUGGUGUUUUGGUAAUUUUUCCAAAUAUUAGAUAAUCUAUCCAAAUCCUAUACCAAAUCUUAUAUAUUCUCAAAUUUUUCAAAUUCGGUUAUCUUUACCGAAUAUUAUAUUCAAUUCUUAUGUAAUUUUAGGUCAAUUUCUGUUUACAUGAUUAUAUGAAUUUCUAAAUUUUCAAAUGAAUUUACCCAUUAGAUUUUAUGAUUGCAUUUUGAUUUUUAAAUUUUGGGAUAAAUUACAUUUUGUGGAAAAAAAGGUAAGAUAUGGAAAAUAUAUAAAAUCUCGGUGUUAAUUUUUUUGAGAUUCAUAUCGAUAUUUUAUAUAUUUUCCAUAUUUUACCUUUUUUUGAAAAUUUAUUUUUUCCAAAAAUUUAAAAAUCAAAAUAGACCCAUCUAAAAAAAUUCAUUUGGAUAACUGGUAAAUUGAUAUGGAAAUUAGAAAUUUGGCUAUAUAUUUAAAAAUUACGUAAGAUUUUGAUAUAAUAUUUGGUAAAUAUAAUCGAAUUUGGAGAAAAAUUGAAAUUAUAUAAGAUUUGGUAUAAGAUUUAGGAAGAUCAAUCAUAUUUUGGAAAAAUUACUAGAAUCUCGAUGUAAUCUGAGAUGUACCAAGAAAGGCCUAAAAGGGCCAAAACAAUCGAUAGGUUAGAAAAAACUAAUUUUUUAAACUAAAUUUCGGUGGUCGAUCUAAGGAUCAAGAAAAGUUAUUUGAACGAGUUUUCAAAAAGAGAGCUAGUUUUAUAAGGUGAAAACUCAAGAAUAUUAUUUCGGACAAUUUUUCGAAGAGAGACAACCUUGGAAGAAAGAAACUUUUAUUAUGAACGUAGACACUUUUGAGAGAAUACUUUUUCACUCUCUCAAGACACACUUACUCACUUUUCACUCUUAUAGGCAGAGAUCCUUGGAGCCCAAGAAAAAUGAUCUCUCUAGAUUAUUCUUGGAUUCUAAAUAUCUAGAUUUUUUUUUAUUUAUUCUUAUCUAGAGGAGCUCCAUAAUUCUUUAACCUAAAGAAAGCCUAGUAUAUUUGUAGACUUUUCUUUGAGAUAUUUAUUUACAUACUUCUACAUAAUUCUAGAGAAAUCUAAUUUCCAUAUUUAUGUCAUAUGGUAGAUACUUCAAGAAUCUUCUAGAAUAGUAGUGCUAUCUUCUACUUCAACACUCCCUUCAACGCUAACCAUUCUAGCUCUUUCCAACAUCUCGAAUUAUUGUUGGAAUUUUGCAUGCUUAGAUGCUCUUAGCCUUCUGACACUAUGUCCCAAUGUUGAUGUCUGCUAAAUGUGUCCACUUCUUCUUCUAUGGCCUUUCUCCAUUGGAUAUUCUGUGACGCAUCUUCAUAUGUUAUUGGUUCCUGAAAUAUUGCUAACACCGCAUUCACGUACUUAGAAUUCGAUUUUUUUAGUCUUGUUGAUCUAGGACCAAAUACGUCUGGCUGCAUCAACUCCAAUGGUUGCUUUACUCUGAAUUUGGACUUCUUGAAUGGCAGUUGAUUGACAACCAACUCAAACCAUGUCUCUUUUUUAUAUCAAGUCGAGGAAGCCUCUUAAGCAUAGACUUGUUUAUCAUUGCCUUCAAUUUGCUGUUGCUAAUAUGACCAAGUCUUGCAUGCCAAAAAUCUGUUGUUUCAUUCUUUCGUGUUUUAUUCACGUAGGUGAUCUCUGUUGACAUGAUGUAGACUGAGUCCAUUCUUCAUCCUUCCAUCAAUGGCGUAUCAUUGACUUUGAGAUUAUGGUACACCUUAACAUUAUCAGGCCCAAAUAUGACAAAGUUGCCUACUGAUGUCAAUUGAGAUACUGACACCAAAUUCUUCUUCAUUUCAGGCACAUAAAACACGUUCUCUAAGUCCACUUGAAUGGAAUUAGAACAAGGUAUUAUCAGAGUUUUGCCAACAUGGGUUGUUGGAAACUUUGAGUUGUUUGCAGUUACAAUAACUCAGCUUCCUUUGUACUCAUAUGUGUUUUGUAGCUUCCUCUUAUCUCCUGUCGUGUGGUUAAAGCAACUUGGAUUGACAAUCCAAACAUUUUCAUAAUUUACCUCUUCUACGUUGAGAGCCAACAAUUGCUUCUCCACCACAUUGGAUGUGGACUGGUGGUUGGGAUCUAUUGUUUCAAAGCAUACCUCUGCAUCCUAUUCUUCUUCACUAAUGCUCUCAGCGUGGGAAGUGACUGUAUUGUUUUCUGUUGCCUUUUUCUUUCGACGACAAUCUUUGUCAUAGUGGCCUAUCUUUCCACAGUUAUAACAUUCACCCUUUUGUUUAUGCUCAUUAUUUUAAUUAGUAUUACUAGCUCCCCCUACUUGACAGUGUUUUGCAGUUUCUUCAUCUUCUUUUGAUCUUACUUUCUUUUGAUAUUUUAAUUGACCUUUUUCUUUGGCCACCAAAGAGCGCUUUUUUGUUGUUGCUCUUUAUCGUGACCUUCAAUAUUUUCUUAGCGAAUGAUUCUUGACUAGCAAGCAUAUUUUCUAGGUCCACUAGAGAAUGUUGGACUACACCAACCUUGAAUAGCAACAAUAAAGCUUCUAUAUUCAGGUUUAAGUCCAUAAUAAUAAUUCUUCUCAUCCUUGAUUUUGAAAUAGUGGAUAUAAUUCAGAUAUUUUACGACAUAGAAUUUUUAUCUUGGUGGAGUAUUGUUUGAUAGUCAUCUCCCUUUGAGAACCUGACAAGAGCUCGUUCUCUAGAAGUUGCAAUCUCGCAUCAUUUUUCUUUGAGAAAAUUGAGGCAAACGUCUCAUGCUACCUUUGGUGUCUCCAUUGUAUUGAUGUGUCCUAACAUUUCUUCAUCAAAUAUAGUUUUAAUUGCAAACAUGGCGUUACCUACCUUGAUAUUCCAUUUCUUCAAAGCAGUAACAUUCUCAAAUGAACUGACUUCAGUGUCUCCCACAACAUCCUAUAAGUCUUGGCCUUGGAGAUACGACUUCAUGCAUGUGGAUCAUGUUUUGUAGUUUUGAGUGUUGAGCUUCUUGAUUCCUCCAACAACUUGAAGGUCUCCCAUCAUCUUAUAGUGAUGAAUGCGCUCCACGAGUAGUUGUGUCCCAGACAAUAAGCUUCACAAUCCCAGACUGUACUCGAUCUUCAAAAGCUCCACCACAGCAGGCUAUGCUAGCUUGGCUCUAAUACCAUUUGUUGAAGAAAUUGGUACAAAAAGAAGAGAUACAAUCUUGGAAGAAAGAAACCUUUAUUAUGAAUGUACAAGGUUGGACACUUUUGAGAGAAUACUUUUUCACUCUCUCAAGACACACUUACUCACUUUUCAAUAUAGGAUUCUCUCUAACUCUCUUGCUUUUCUUUCUUCCCCUUUUGCUUACUUGCUUUACAAAUGAGAGCACAACUAUUAUUUAUAGACAUGAGAUCCUUGGAGGUCAAAUAAAAGGAUCUCUCUAGAUUAUUUUUUGAUUCUAAAUAUCUAGAUAUUUCUUGGUUUAUUCUUAUCUAGAAGAAUUCUCUAAAAUUCUUUAACCUAAAGAAAGCCUAGGAUAUUUAUACUUUUCUUUGAGAUAUUUAUUUACAUACUUCAAUGUAAUUCUA